rnacentral:rRNA from 1 species
CUCAAAGGAAUUGACGGGGACCCGCACAAGCGGUGGAUGAUGUGGUUUAAUUCGAUGCAACGCGAAAAACCUUACCCACCUUUGACAUGUACGGAAUUCGCCAGAGAUGGCUUAGUGCUCGAAAGAGAACCGUAACACAGGUGCUGCAUGGCUGUCGUCAGCUCGUGUCGUGAGAUGUUGGGUUAAGUCCCGCAACGAGCGCAACCCUUGUCAUUAGUUGCUACAUUUAGUUGGGCACUCUAAUGAGACUGCCGGUGACAAACCGGAGGAAGGUGGGGAUGACGUCAAGUCCUCAUGGCCCUUAUAGGUGGGGCUACACACGUCAUACAAUGGCUGGUACAAAGGGUUGCCAACCCGCGAGGGGGAGCUAAUCCCAUAAAACCAGUCGUAGUCCGGAUCGCAGUCUGCAACUCGACUGCGUGAAGUCGGAAUCGCUAGUAAUCGUGGAUCAGAAUGUCACGGUGAAUACGUUCCCGGGUCUUGUACACACCGUCCGUCAC